rnacentral:rRNA from 1 species
GACGAACCGUGCGAACGUUGUUCGGAAUCACUGGGCUUAAAGGGCGCGUAGGCGGACUGCCAAGUCCGGGGUGAAAUCCUCCGGCUUAACCGGAGAAUUGCCUGGGAUACUGGCGGUCUUGAGGGAGGUAGGGGCACGCGGAACUUCCGGUGGAGCGGUGAAAUGCGUUGAUAUCGGAAGGAACGCCGGUGGCGAAAGCGGCGUGCUGGCCCUCUUCUGACGCUGAGGCGCGAAAGCCAGGGGAGCGAACGGG